AUUGAACGCUGGCGGAAUGCUUUACACAUGCAAGUCGAGCGGCAGCACGGGGGCAACCCUGGUGGCGAGCGGCGAACGGGUGAGUAAUACAUCGGAACAUGCCCAGUCGUGGGGGACAACACUUCGAAAGAAGUGCUAAUACCGCAUACGUCCUGAGGGAGAAAGCGGGGGAUCUUCGGACCUCGCGCGAUUGGAGUGGCCGAUGUCAGAUUAGCUAGUUGGUGGGGUAAAGGCCUACCAAGGCAACGAUCUGUAGCUGGUCUGAGAGGAGGAUCAGCCACCCUGGGACUGAGACACGGCCCAGACUCCUACGGGAGGCAGCAGUGGGGAAUUUUGGACAAUGGGGGCAACCCUGAUCCAGCCAUUCCGCGUGAGUGAAGAAGGCCUUCGGGUUGUAAAGCUCUUUCGGCAGGAACGAAACGGCGAGCUCUAACAUAGCUUGCUAAUGACGGUACCUGAAGAAGAAGCACCGGCUAACUACGUGCCAGCCGCCGCCGUAAUAC
rnacentral:rRNA from 1 species